rnacentral:rRNA from 1 species
CACCGGCGGCUCGAGUGGUGGCCACUUUUAUUGGGUCUAAAGCGUCCGUAGCCGGCUUGGCAAGUCCCCUGGGAAAUCUGGCGGCUUAACCGUCAGGCGUCCAGAGGAUACUGCCAGGCUUGGGACCGGGAGAGGUGAGAGGUACCUCAGGGGUAGGGGUGAAAUCUUGUGAUCCCUGAGGGACCACCAGUGGCGGAGGCGUCUCACUAGAACGGGUCCGACGGUCAGGGACGAAAGCUGGGGGCACGAACCGG